rnacentral:rRNA from 1 species
GUACACAAAAGCGCAUGUGCUGUGAGCUCGAUGAGUAGGGCGGGACACGUGGUAUCCUGUCUGAAUAUGGGGGGACCAUCCUCCAAGGCUAAAUACUCCUGACUGACCGAUAGUGAACCAGUACCGUGAGGGAAAGGCGAAAAGAACCCCGGCGAGGGGAGUGAAAAAGAACCUGAAACCGUGUACGUACAAGCAGUGGGAGCACAGGUUUACCUGUGUGACUGCGUACCUUUUGUAUAAUGGGUCAGCGACUUAUAUUCUGUAGCAAGGUUAACCGAAUAGGGGAGCCGGAGGGAAACCGAGUCUUAAUUGGGCGUUAAGUUGCAGGGUAUAGACCCGAAACCCGGUGAUCUAGCCAUGGGCAGGUUGAAGGUUGGGUAACACUAACUGGAGGACCGAACCGACUAAUGUUGAAAAAUUAGCGGAUGACCUGUGGCUGGGGGUGAAAGGCCAAUCAAACCGGGAGAUAGCUGGUUCUCCCCGAAAGCUAUUUAGGUAGCGCCUCGUGAAUUCAUCUCCGGGGGUAGAGCACUGUUUCGGCUAGGGGGCCAUCCCGGCUUACCAACCCGAUGCAAACUGCGAAUACCGGAGAAUGUUAUCACGGGAGACACACGGCGGGUGCUAACGUCCGUCGUGAAGAGGGAAACAACCCAGACCGCCAGCUAAGGUCCCAAAGUCAUGGUUAAGUGGGAAACGAUGUGGGAAGGCCCAGACAGCCAGGAUGUUGGCUUAGAAGCAGCCAUCAUUUAAAGAAAGCGUAAUAGCUCACUGGUCGAGUCGGCCUGCGCGGAAGAUGUAACGGGGCUAAACCAU